rnacentral:rRNA from 1 species
GAUGAACGCUGGCGGUAUGCCUUAUACAUGCAAGUCGUACGAGAGUUUUAAACUUAAGUGGCGGACGGGUGAGUAACGCGUAAGAAUUUACCUUUAGGAGGGGGAUAACAACUGGAAACGGUUGCUAAUACCCCAUAGGCUUCUGAGUGAAAUGGAUUUCCGCCUAAAGAGAAGCUUGCGUCUGAUUAGCUUGUUGGUGAGGUAAUGGCUCACCAAGGCGACGAUCAGUAUCUGGUUUGAGAGGAUGAUCAGACACACUGGAACUGAGACACGGUCCAGACUCCUGCGGGAGGCAGCAGUAGGGAAUUUUCCGCAAUGGGCGAAAGCCUGACGGAGCAAUACCGCGUGAGGGAUGACUGCCUAU